rnacentral:rRNA from 1 species
UACGGAGGGUGCAAGCGUUAUCCGGAUUCACUGGGUUUAAAGGGUGCGUAGGUGGGCAGUUAAGUCAGUGGUGAAAUCUCCGGGCUCAACCCGGAAACUGCCAUUGAUACUAUCUGUCUUGAAUAUCGUGGAGGUAAGCGGAAUAUGUCAUGUAGCGGUGAAAUGCUUAGAUAUGACAUAGAACACCAAUUGCGAAGGCAGCUUACUAAGCAAAUAUUGACGCUGAGGCACGAAAGCGUGGGGAUCAAACAGG